GAUGAAGAACGUAGCGAAAUGCGAUAAGUAGUGUGAAUUGCAGAAUUCAGUGAAUCAUCGAAUCUUUGAACGCACAAUGCGCCCGCCAGUAUUCUGGCGGGCAUGCCUGUUCGAGCGUCAUUUCAACCCUCAGGCCCCCAGUGCCUGGUGUUGGGGAUCGGCCCAGCCUUCCUGUAAGGCCGCCGGCCCCGAAAUCUAGUGGCGGUCUCGCUGUAGUCCUCCUCUGCGUAGUAGCACAACCUCGCAGUUGGAACGCGGCGGUGGCCAUGCCGUUAAACACCCCACUUCUGAAAGUUGACCUCGGAUCAGGUAGGAAUACCCGCUGAACUUAAGCAUAUCAAUAAGCGGAGGA
rnacentral:misc_RNA from 1 species